GGCCCAGAUCGUUUACCGUGAAAAAAUUAGAGUGUUCAAAGCAGGCAGAUCCAAUUUUCUGCCACCGAAUACAUUAGCAUGGGAUAAUGGAAUAGGACCCUGUCCUCCUAUUUUCAGUUGGUUUUGGCAGCGCGAGGACUAGGGUAAUGAUUAAUAGGGAUAGUUGGGGGCAUUAAUAUUUAAUUGUCAGAGGUGAAAUUCUUGGAUUUAUGAAAGAUUAACUUCUGCGAAAGCAUCUGCCAAGGAUGUUUUCAUUAAUCAAGAACGAAAGUUAGGGGAUCGAAGACGAUCAGAUACCGUCGUAGUCUUAACCAUAAACGAUGCCGACCAGCGAUUAGGAGACGUUGAAUACAAAACACCACCAUCGGCGCGGUCGUCCUUGGCGUCGGUCUUUCACGGGGCGCGGGGACGGCUUAGCCCGGUGGCACCGGUGAAUGACUCCCCUAGCAGCUUGUGAGA
rnacentral:rRNA from 1 species